GUUUUUUUUUUUUUUCAAAUAAAGGCAGCAUAGGUUUUAACAUUAUUGACUGAAACCUUCUAGAAAAUAAAUUGUGUUAAAAAAGUAAAUAGUUUACUGGUUUCAUACCUUGACAAUCUAAGUGCCAGCCAGCAGAGUUUGUUUUAUUCUACUUUGCUGUAUGUUCCGAAAGGUUAAUUACUAAGUAGAUUGUAAAUUUACUAUUUACUGGUGUGCAGGGCUGGCCAGAUUUCAUUUGGUUUUGGCUCAACCAUUAGAGUAGACUAAAGGAGAUGGCUCUUAAAAAAAAAAAAAAGCUUUGGGAAACACUGGUGGCUAUGUGGUGGAAUGCUUGCAUGGUGUCUCAAUGACAGUGUUAAACCCAUUUUAAAUGUUUACUUCUGAAUGUGUGUAUUUUUAGGAGUGUGUUUUUAAUUAUUAGGCUAGCAAGAAAUUCUGUCUAAUCUAGUAAUAUUAGUUUGAAUGACAUCUGAUGUAUCAGUGAUGUACUUUUUGUUUGUGAUGAUGUUAUAGAUUUUAUGUUGUGACAUGCUACAUUGAAUUAAAAUCCAUAUUUACUAAGACAUUUUUUUGCAUGAAAAAAAUUGCAUUAGGCCUUUUUUUUUUUAUUAUUUUAUUUUCAUUCGUCUUAAUGUUUUUUUUUUCAGAAAUUAUCCAGUUUGAUUGCAUGUUUUAAAAAAAAGAGCUUGCUUUUUUUGUGUGUGUUUUAUAUAGACUCUAUAUAUAAUUCAAAGUAAGGCAUUAUUUCCAAAAAUAAGUAAAAGUUAUUUGUUUUAACUUUAAGAUAGAUCAUCACUAUAAUGAGCACACCUCAUAUGCAGCAAUAAAAAACCAUUCCAUCCAAACUUUUGCUAUUGUAUUUUUACAAUUUCUCAAUUUAUUCCAUACUUUGAAUAUCUGGAUUCUUUAAAGUUUAUUUUCACUAAUUAGGGUACUGUCAAGAUGUUUUCAUUUACCCCCCCCC